rnacentral:lncRNA from 1 species
GUUAUCUUAAUUCUCCUCAUAAAGUUCCAUGGAAAAUACUCCACACUUCUUAUGGAGAAUGAGAAUCUGAUUUAGAAUACACAGACCAAGAAUAAAAAAGUGAAGGUGAAAAGUAAAUCCUAGAUUCCAAUACCCUCAAGUAGCUUUAUAAAGAAUAUUCACUUACGCCGGGCACAGUGGAACACAGGACACCAGUUAAAAGGGAGGCCAUGUGCUAAGGGGUGCUUAGUGGACCUUCAAAUGCCAUUACCAGUCACUUCCCAGCAUUCAAAUUGAGGAAUUUGAAACUGCUGAUUUUGUUUGAGCACCAAGGAAAUAAAGAAGCCAAACGCCAGAGCUGGGCUGUCCAUCAAUUCUCCCAUUUCGGAGACAUUCUGACUGCCAGGACCAGCCACCUACGUCAGCAUGACCACUUGGAAUUGGCCAAUUCCAGCAGGGAGUUUGAUUACACCCACAGGGCCUCAUGAGGAUUUUGGCACCUUUUGAUCCAAGACGUAAUUGACACUGAACGAAUGAUAAAUAAGCAUCUUCUUCCCUUUCUCUUGUUGUCUUCUCCAGCUUCAAUUACAACUAGAAUAUUUCUACAGAUUUAUUAGGUCAAAGGAAGCCCAGCAUUUUUUUUAUAUUAAAAAGAUGUGUU